rnacentral:rRNA from 1 species
GACGAACGCUGGCGGCGUGCCUAAUACAUGCAAGUCGAGCGGACCGACGGGAGCUUGCUCCCUUAGGUCAGCGGCGGACGGGUGAGUAACACGUGGGUAACCUGCCUGUAAGACUGGGAUAACUCCGGGAAACCGGGGCUAAUACCGGAUGCUUGAUUGAACCGCAUGGUUCAAUCAUAAAAGGUGGCUUUCAGCUACCACUUACAGAUGGACCCGCGGCGCAUUAGCUAGUUGGUGAGGUAACGGCUCACCAAGGCGACGAUGCGUAGCCGACCUGAGAGGGUGAUCGGCCACACUGGGACUGAGACACGGCCCAGACUCCUACGGGAGGCAGCAGUAGGGAAUCUUCCGCAAUGGACGAAAGUCUGACGGAGCAACGCCGCGUGAGUGAUGAAGGUUUUCGGAUCGUAAAACUCUGUUGUUAGGGAAGAACAAGUACCGUUCGAAUAGGGCGGCACCUUGACGGUACCUAACCAGAAAGCCACGGCUAACUACGUGCCAGCAGCCGCGGUAAUACGUAGGUGGCAAGCGUUGUCCGGAAUUAUUGGGCGUAAAGCGCGCGCAGGCGGUUUCUUAAGUCUGAUGUGAAAGCCCCCGGCUCAACCGGGGAGGGUCAUUGGAAACUGGGGAACUUGAGUGCAGAAGAGGAGAGUGGAAUUCCACGUGUAGCGGUGAAAUGCGUAGAGAUUGGAGGACACCAGUGGCGAAGGCGACUCUCUGGUCUGUAACUGAC